rnacentral:rRNA from 1 species
GAGAACGUGCCCUUUUCUACGGAAUAGCCCAGGGAAACUUGGAUUAAUACCGUAUACGCCCUUCGGGGGAAAGAUUUAUCGGAGAAGGAUCGGCCCGCGUUGGAUUAGGUAGUUGGUGGGGUAAUGGCCUACCAAGCCGACGAUCCAUAGCUGGUUUGAGAGGAUGAUCAGCCACACUGGGACUGAGACACGGCCCAGACUCCUACGGGAGGCAGCAGUGGGGAAUCUUAGACAAUGGGGGCAACCCUGAUCUAGCCAUGCCGCGUGAGUGAUGAAGGCCCUAGGGUUGUAAAGCUCUUUCAGCUGGGAAGAUAAUGACGGUACCAGCAGAAGAAGCCCCGGCUAACUCCGUGCCAGCAGCCGCGGUAAUACGGAGGGGGCUAGCGUUGUUCGGAAUUACUGGGCGUAAAGCGCACGUAGGCGGAUUGGAAAGUUGGGGGUGAAAUCCCGGGGCUCAACCCCGGAACUGCCUCCAAAACUAUCAGUCUGGAGUUCGAGAGAGGUGAGUGGAAUUCCGAGUGUAGAGGUGAAAUUCGUAGAUAUUCGGAGAACACCAGUGGCGAAGGCGGCUCGCUGGCUCGAUACUGACGCUGAGGUGCGAAGGCGUGGGGAGCAAAGGGAUUAGAUACCCCUGUAGUC